rnacentral:rRNA from 1 species
AGCUCCAAUAGCGUAUAUUAAAGUUGUUGCGGUUAAAAAGCUCGUAGUUGGAUCUCAACAGCCCUUGAAUCGUUUCACUUUGUCGUUUUACUGCUUUUUCGUCUUUGCUUUUGCUGGCGGUUUAGGGGUGCUCUUGAUCGAGUGUCUCUGGAUGCCAGCAGGUUUACUUUGAAAAAAUUAGAGUGCUCAAAGCAGGCUAAAAUGCCUGAAUAUUCGUGCAUGGAAUAAUAGAAUAGGAUGUCGAUGCUAUUCUGUUGGUUUUCGGGACUCGACAUAAUGAUAAAUAGGGACAGUCGGGGGCAUUUGUAUUCAAACGACAGAGGUGAAAUUCUUGGACAGUUUGAAGACAAACUACUGCGAAAGCAUUUGCCAAGAAUGUUUUCA